ACCAAUUGGAGGGCAAGUCUGGUGCCAGCAGCCGCGGUAAUUCCAGCUCCAAUAGCGUAUAUUAAACUUGUUGCAGUUAAAAAGCUCGUAGUUGAAUUUCAGCGUUUCGCGUGUGCCUCUUUUGGCCCAUCUCGUCUCGCUUUUUUUAUUACUUUGAGAAAAUUAGAGUGUUUCAAGCAGGCUUUUGUCUUGAAUACUUGAGCAUGGAAUAAUAGAGUAGGACCUUGGUUCUAUUUUGUUGGUUUUGUUACCUUGGUAAUGGUUAAUAGGAACGGUUGGGGGCAUUCGUAUUUAACUGUCAGAGGUGAAAUUCUUAGAUUUGUUAAAGACGAACUACUGCGAAAGCAUUUGCCAAGGACGUUUCCAUUAAUCAAGAACGAAAGUUAGGGGAUCGAAGACGAUCAGAUACCGU
rnacentral:rRNA from 1 species